GGAUCCCUAACCCACUGUGCAGACCAGGGAUUGACCCUGCUUCCCAGGGCUCCCAAGAUGCCACUGACCCCAAUGCGCCACAGUGAGAACUCCCACAAUGCCACAGUUGAUAGAUAGAUGGUAGCGAUUCCCGGAUAGAUACAUUCAAUUGAGGAAUGUUUUUCUUUGCAUAUUAUACGUAUGUCACUAAUUGAGUGGCUACAUAUGUGUGUGUGUGUGUGUGUGUGUGUCCCUUCUCCCCACCGUCCUGUGUCCCUUUGCCCACAGAUAGGACCUCAGCUAGUUGCAGUUUGCUGCGUGGUAGAGUGACUCCACUAAUCGUUCCUGGAGCAUCAGUGGUCCUGCCCAGUUCGGGUGUCGUGGCUUUUUGUUAACUUGUGUGCAUGGAAAAGGGGACCCUUGAGGAUCCCCCAGGUCCCAGACGUAGCCCUCCCUGCUCUUGGCUGUAGAGGCCUCCCAGUCAGGCAGCCACUACCUCUCCUCUUUCGUUGCCUGUGGUCUGAGGAGCACGAGAAGCCCAAACAGCCGAGUGGAGGUUUUAGCUUCAAAGGCGAUGAAAACUGUGUGGCUUUCCUUCCCCUGAGAACUCAGGUCUCCACACCGGCAGAGGCCAGCGCUGCAGGGACGUGAAGCGAAAUUUUCCUGAGUGGGUGCGGUAGCCUGAGUCAUGACCAGCCAAAGACGCCAGGUCCGCAUCUCUGGAAUUUGGAAAAUGUCACCUUAAAAGGAAAAAGGAUUUUUGCAGACGUGAUUAGGUGAAUGACCUUGACAUGGGGAGAUUCUCCUGGGCGACCGGGGCCCUAAACCCCAUUGCCAGUGUCCCUUUAAGAAACAGGCAGGAGGAGAGCUCACACACGGAAGAGGAGGAGGAACAGUGAAGACAGAAGCAGAGGUUGGAGUAAUGGGGCCGAAGGAACGCCAACGGCCACCCAGCUGGAGGAGUCACGGCACAGGUUCCUCCCUAGAGUUUUAGGAGGAGUGCAGCCCUGCUGGUACCUCGAUUUAGGCUCAGUGAGGCUGAUGCGGAACUCCUGGCCUCCAGAACUCUAGGAGAAUAAAUUCUGUUCAGUCAUCAAGUAUGUAGCAAUUUGUUGUGGCAACCACAGUGAACUAAUACUGGCGGCUAGGGAGAUGCCACGCCGCCUACCUUCCUUUGAUUCCUGGCGCCUUAAAUGCCGGCUGUCAAUGAGGAUGCGGCGUUCCCAUUGUGUCUCAGCGGAAAUGAAUCUGAUUAGUAUCCACGAGGACACGGGUUCGAUCCCUGGCCUCACUCAGUGGGUUAAGGAUCCAGCAUUGCUGUGAGCUGUGCAAAGGAGCGACUGCUGUAAGAUGGGGCUUUAGAAAGAGGCAGGAGUCAAGGUUUAUGAGAUCCAUGAAUCUUUCCAAAGAGGCAGGGCUUACCAGUGAGGACAAUGGGGAGUCAGUCCAAGAUUUAGGAGUUCCCUGGUGGUUCGGUGGGUUGGGGAUCUGGUGAAGUCACUGCCGUAGCUCUGGUUGCUGCUAUGGCAGGGCUUUGACCCCUGGCCUGGGAAUUUCUGCAUGCAGCCAGCACAGCUGGGGAAAAAAAAUCUUGACCCGGGAUCAAAUCAGGGUAGACUUGCCCUUUGGAAUAUUUUCUUUGGAGGAUGGAAGACGGAUUUGAGGGAGCAAGCCUGGCCGCAGGGAGACCAGCUAGGAGAUGCUGCAGUAACCUGAGCAGGAGAUGCUGGUAACCUAGACCCAUCCCACGGCGUUUCACUAAUUGAGCAAAUGCGUGUGAAGCGCCUGCUGUAUGUCAGAGCCUGGCUCAGCACAACGUACAGGAGGAUCAGAUGCAGGAGACCCAGUUAUGGCCCUGAGGUCAUCCAGCCCCUGGGGAAAACAGAUGCACCAUUAUCCAAAGCACGCGCCACUCUUUAGCUGCUAAGUUUGUCUGACUCAGCAAGGAGGGUUUGCAGGUGGCUACGGGAGUCCCCAAACUGUCAACAAAUAUGGCCUUGAUAGCAGGUAUGAUUUUAGCUUGGUGUGUCACUUAUCUAUUGCCACGUGACAGCUCACCCGACACCUUAGCAGCGUAAAACAACAGCGGUUUUACUUUGUCUUAAUUCUGCGGGUCAGCAGUUUGGGCUGCUCUCAAAUUCUGAGCGGUUCUGCUGCUCUCACCUGGAAUCACUGAUGUGGUUGCACUCCUCCGGCCUCUUGGCUGGGACUGGUUCUGCUGAGGUGACCUCACCCACGUGUCGGGUUUGGUGCUGGCUGUCAUGCAUGGGCAGGAUGGCCCGUCUCUGCUCUGUGGGGCUUUUCACCCUCCAGAAGGUUUGACUGGGCUUCUUCACAUGGCAAGGGGGCCAGAGCAGACAUGAUGUGGCCUCUUGAGGCCCUGGCUCGGAAGCUGUACCGAGCAGCCUGGGGCUGCCAUGCAGCAAGGGCUCAGCUCACCGGGAUCUGGGGGGCUCGGCUUCUGUUAUAGUUCUUACAGUCUUGCAAACCAAAGACAACCAUGCAGCGUCUUUCCCAACAUUAGCACUUGUCUCUCCUCUGCCGUCAUCCCAGCCCCUGCACAAGGC
rnacentral:lncRNA from 1 species